CAGCCGCCGCGGUAAUACGUAGGGUGCAAGCGUUAAUCGGAAUUACUGGGCGUAAAGCGUGCGCAGGCGGUUCGGAAAGAAAGAUGUGAAAUCCCAGAGCUUAACUUUGGAACUGCAUUUUUAACUACCGGGCUAGAGUGUGUCAGAGGGAGGUGGAAUUCCGCGUGUAGCAGUGAAAUGCGUAGAUAUGCGGAGGAACACCGAUGGCGAAGGCAGCCUCCUGGGAUAACACUGACGCUCAUGCACGAAAGCGUGGGGAGCAAACAGGAUUAGAUACCCUGGUAGGCCACGCCCUAAACGAUGUCAACUAGCUGUUGGGGCCUUCGGGCCUUGGUAGCGCAGCUAACGCGUGAAGUUGACCGCCUGGGGAGUACGGUCGCAAGAUUAAAACUUAAAGGAAUUGGCGGG
rnacentral:rRNA from 1 species